UUUGUCUUCCUUUUCCCUCUUUUCCUAGAUCUCUCACGCAUUCUCUUCAUUUUUCCUCUUCUUUUCCUGUUCUUUCUUUUUCUUUCUUCUUCCUUCCCCUCCAGCAACCUGCACGCCCGACACCCCCUCCUCUCCUUCUUCUUCUUCUCUUCUUCUCCCUUCAUCCCGUUCCUUUCUCCCUUUCUCUUCCAUCACACACGCACGUAGAGAUCGUGAGGGAGAGAUCCAACCGUGUGAUCAAACCCGAGCAACUGAGAGGGAGCUGAUUUCCGGCAGGCUAAGCUAGUUUUUCGGUGAAUUUCAUGGGUUCCGACCAUGGGAGUUUUGUAAGAUGAUGUCCCUUUGGCUGCAGGUACACAGGUCAUAGUUGAUGGGGUUGUAGACGUGCGUUUGGGAUGUUAUGACCGAAGCUCGCCGCGAUAAUCGUAAUUAUGAGACUAUGGGCGUCCUCUAUUUUUAUUUUAUAAGUUUUGUUGAUGGCUUGUGAUGCCUGUGUCACUUGUUAUUGUAUAAAGUCAUUUCUGUCAUGUAUUUAUAUUGAGGAAAGAUCUAAACACAUAGAUGUUAAAUGGCUCUUGUUAUUAUUUUAUGAUAGAUGUUUAAGAUGUGAUUUCCGCUAUUA